rnacentral:sRNA from 1 species
GUAUUGGGAAGGCAGAUAAAAUGCCAGGUCUGGACUGCCUCUGGGCAUAACCUCACCCUGUGGGAUGUGAAUGAAUAGCAUCUUGCCUGGUAAAUCCACAGGAAUUGAUAAGGCAGGCGCAGUUCUCCCAAACAGGCCUUUUCUCUUUAAGCUGUAGCUGUGGUUUCUGCAGCAAUUUUGUUUUUGCCUUGAAAGAGGUGCUCUGGAUUAUCAGACCUCCAUGUAUGACAAUUUGUACCUGCAUGGAAUUGAAGACUCGGAGGCUGAAGAAUAAUGUGAUGUGUUACCCAAGAUGGUGUGAACAGAGCUUCAAGCCAAUGGAGAAGACUAGGCCUAAAUAGCUGACCUGGUGAAGUGACACAUAAAGCCACACCUGGAGUGCCACCUCCUCAGCAGUCUUUCUCAGUGCCAAUGCAUUUAUGGCUGGUUCAGCGGAUUCCUACACAAGCAGGCCGUCUGACUCCGAUGUCUCUUUGGAAGAGGACCGGGAAGCAAUUCGACAGGAGAGAGAACAGCAAGCAGCUAUCCAGCUUGAGAGAGCAAAGUCCAAACCUGUAGCAUUUGCCGUGAAGACAAAUGUGAGCUACUGCGGCGCCCUGGAUGAGGAUGUGCCUGUUCCAAGCACAGCUAUCUCCUUUGAUGCUAAAGACUUUCUACAUAUUAAAGAGAAAUAUAACAAUGAUUGGUGGAUAGGAAGGCUGGUGAAAGAGGGCUGUGAAAUUGGCUUCAUUCCAAGUCCACUCAGAUUGGAGAACAUACGGAUUCAGCAAGAACAAAAAAGAGGACGUUUUCACGGAGGGAAAUCAAGUGGAAAUUCUUCUUCAAGUCUUGGAGAAAUGGUAUCUGGGACAUUUCGAGCAACUCCCACGUCAACAGGUGAGGGUUGUAGUUAAACUCUUUUUCAUACACUGUAUUCCUUUUAAAAAUAUUUGAACACACAUGCAAGUAUUUUUGCUAAUUUGGAAACAAUUUGAAGGCUUAAUUUAAAGAUUUCUCUAAUUAAUAUUUCAUUUCUCAUUUGUUUUCUAUGGUAAUUUGAUUUCAUUUAAAAUGGUAUUAAAAAUUCAUGUCAUUAGAAUAUAAUUUUGAAAAAUCUUAUUUACCCCUCAGAGUUAAUAACUGUCCAUUGUGUAAAUUGAUAUUCAAAAAAUUCAUUAUUUUACCUAAGAAGCGGACAGAGUUUAAGAUGGUGAAGGCCAAUAAAAAAAGGAAAAAAAUUAUGCAGACUCUCAAGAAAAUGCUGUUUUCAGUCUCCAUGUGGAAUUUCAGGAUGUAUUAGUACAGCCCGAGCUGAAAGGGUUGAAGCAGAGAGUAAGGCAGGGCCCAAAGGAGGGAGGGUCUCAUUUACAUUUGGACAGCAGACAGCCAAGCCCUGGAAUUAAUGGUAAUGAAGAGAUAUUGGUGGCCUAAUAGGGAGUUGUGGUACAUUUGGAAACGAUGGAGUUAUUCAUGUAGGAAUUUUUCUUCUACCACAUUCCCUGAUUCCUAUCGGCUAAUUUCAUUCUGGCCUAGAACUGCUGUUGCAUUAGGGCAUCCAGUGUCCUAGUUACCAAUUCCAAUUGUAUUACCAAUUUGGAAUGGCAAGUCCAAGGCCCUAUUCUGGCCUACCAAAACUGGAGGCAACUGGAUUGGUUCUGGAGUGGUUCUAAGUGUCUGGGUCCUUGUUCAUGUGAAGCCCUCUUAUCUACAGGACACUGAACCAAACCAGGUUUCUGAGUUGUACCCAACUAGACUGGAGCUGCUUGGAUGUCCACAGAAUCGCUUUAAAUCAGUUAUUGAGUAUAUUUUGCUUCGUUCCCAUUUGUUGGACAUUCAGGACAUUGAACACUUUAGCUAUUACAAACAGGAAAGAACAGGAAUAACUCAUUAUAAAUUUAUCUGAGGAAUAACUGGUUAUAAAUGUAUUUGAAAUUUAAAAGCAAGAUAGUAGGGAAAAUGUGCCAAUAUUCUAGAAAAUGGGCAAAAAUGCCCAAGGGACUGCAGAAUUAUGAGUUAACAAAUAUAAAAAUAACUAUUGAUUGAGGUGAUAGUCAUUUUUGCCCAAGUGGUUAUUCUGUUUCCUUUUAUGAAAUUGCAUUUGUCUACCUUGUUCCCAGCAACACUGUGCUGUGUCCAGCACGGGAACAACCCAUGGUGAAUGGCUGGCCCGGAACUUCCAGUGUUGCUCUCAACUCCUGUACCCAACUCCCACCCAGUGAGAAAUCAGGAUAUAAGGUCAUUUGUACCAGGGAGGAAGCUGUCUGUUUUUCAUACAUCUUCAAAAUUGACGUGUCCAGAAUGAAAUCAUAAGGCAGGUUCUCCAAAGUGGGCGAUAGGAAGGUGGUGAAGAUAAUUACAGGGACAAAUGGGUACAUUCUUCCAUCUUUUAAACUCAUGUACUGUCAUUUGCAGAGAUUACAUAUUUUGAUAUGGCUCUCAUUAUUGUCUUUUAGCAAAACAGAAGCAAAAAGUGGUAAGUUGUGUUUCCUUUUUAAAUCUACUGUUAAGGUUCCUAUAUAUACAUGCCUGCAAUGCUCCAUUUCAGUGACCCAAGUGGCUAUAAAAUAAGGGAAGAGCCUCCUCGGUGGGGACUUCGAUAAUCAUUUGUCGUUCAACCUGAGAAUUAUGAAUGUUGUGGCUGUGGAGAGGCAUGCUCAACCUCACCUUGUCACGCGUGUCGAAUCAUCUUUUUCAGACGGAGCACAUUCCUCCUUACGAUGUUGUGCCGUCAAUGCGUCCGGUGGUGUUAGUGGGGCCGUCACUGAAAGGUUACGAGGUAACAGACAUGAUGCAGAAAGCCCUCUUUGAUUUCCUGAAGCACAGGUUUGAUGGGAGGAUAUCAAUAACGAGAGUGACAGCUGACAUUUCUCUUGCUAAGAGGUCUGUCCUAAAUAAUCCCAGCAAGAGAGCAAUAAUUGAACGUUCGAACACCCGGUCCAGCUUAGCGGAAGUACAAAGUGAAAUUGAAAGAAUCUUUGAGUUGGCAAGAUCUUUGCAACUGGUCGUUCUUGAUGCAGACACCAUCAAUCACCCAGCACAACUUAUAAAGACUUCCUUAGCACCAAUUAUUGUUCAUGUAAAAGUCUCAUCUCCAAAGGUUUUACAGCGGUUGAUUAAAUCUAGAGGAAAGUCACAAAGUAAACACUUGAAUGUUCAACUGGUGGCAGCUGAUAAACUUGCACAAUGCCCCCCAGAAAUGUUUGAUGUUAUAUUGGAUGAAAAUCAGCUUGAGGAUGCGUGUGAACAUCUAGGGGAGUACCUGGAGGCGUACUGGCGUGCCACCCACACAACCAGUAGCACACCCAUGACCCCGCUGCUGGGAAGGAAUUUGGGCUCCACGGCACUCUCACCAUAUCCCACAGCAAUUUCUGGGUUACAGAGUCAGCGAAUGAGGCACAGCAACCACUCCACAGAGAACUCUCCAAUUGAAAGACGAAGUCUAAUGACCUCUGAUGAAAAUUAUCACAAUGAAAGGGCUCGGAAGAGUAGGAACCGCUUGUCUUCCAGUUCUCAGCAUAGCCGAGAUCAUUACCCUCUUGUGGAAGAAGAUUACCCUGACUCAUACCAGGACACUUACAAACCCCAUAGGAACCGAGGAUCACCUGGGGGAUAUAGCCAUGACUCCCGACAUAGGCUUUGAGUCUAAUGAAACAAAAAAUAUUCAUCUGUUGACAAUUUGCCAUAGCAGUGCUAGGAUAAACCAAUCAUCUUAACUUGGCUAACAUAGCACAGUAUUUACUGUGCUAAUGGGCUGCUGUCAUUUUAUGC